rnacentral:rRNA from 1 species
GGUUGAUCCUGCCAGUAGUCAUAUGCUUGUCUCAAAGAUUAAGCCAUGCAUGUCUAAGUAUAAACACCUUUAUACAGUGAAACUGCGAAUGGCUCAUUAAAUCAGUUAUAGUUUAUUUGAUAGUACCUCACUACAUGGAUAACCGUAGUAAUUCUAGAGCUAAUACAUGCGAAAAGACCCGACUUCUGGAAGGGUUGUAUUUAUUAGAUAAAAAACCAAUGCGGAGCAAUCCGGUUUUUGGUGAAUCAUAAUAACUUAACGGAUCGCAUGGCCUCGUGCCGGCGAUAGUUCAU